UCAGACGAUGCGUCAUGCAUAUCAAUAAGCGGAGGAAAAGAAACUAACAAGGAUUCCCUCAGUAACGGCGAGUGAAGCGGGAAGAGCUCAAAUUUGAAAUCUUGAAAGGUCACCUUUCACGAAUUGUAGUUUAAAGAAGUGUUUUCUGUUACGAUCGUAAUAUAAGUUCUUUGGAAUAGGACAUCACAGAGGGUGAGAAUCCCGUCUAUGAUUGCGAUUUGUAGCUUUGUGAUACACUUUCAAAGAGUCGGGUUGUUUGGGAAUGCAGCCCAAAACGGGAGGUAAAUUUCUUCUAAGGCUAAAUAUUGGCGAGAGACCGAUAGCGAACAAGUACCGUGAGGGAAAGAUGAAAAGAACUUUGAAAAGAGAGUUAAAUAGUACGUGAAAUUGUCAAAAGGGAAGCGUUUGACACCAGUGUUGUUUUCUGAAAAUCAACCUCUGUUAGCUUUAUGCAUGUUUGUUUAGACCUAAUCAGCUAUCUUGCAUGUUCUAUUGUUUGCAGUGGUGCACUUUUCAGUUUACAGGUCAACAUCAGUUUUUUUUACCGUAAAAAAGUUAAAGAAAGGUAGCUCAUGGCUCCGGUCGUGAGUGUUAUAGUCUUUUUCCUAUGCGGUAGGAGAGACUGAGGUCUGCAAUGUAGGCUAUUUGGCUAGAUACUCAGGUGCUAUGUGAUACCAUUUCAUAAACAACUUGUUGAUUAUGUUUUGUCUAUUGCAUACUCGCUUGUACUAUCAUACCUACGCUUAGGAUGUUGACUGAUAUGUAGUCGUA
rnacentral:rRNA from 1 species